UGAGGAAUAUUGGUCAAUGGACGAGAGUCUGAACCAGCCAAGUCGCGUGAAGGAAGACUGCCCUAAGGGUUGUAAACUUCUUUUGUAUGGGAAUAAAAAAUGGGACGUGUCCCAUAUUGUAUGUACCAUACGAAUAAGGAUCGGCUAACUCCGUGCCAGCAGCCGCGGUAAUACGGAGGAUCCGAGCGUUAUCCGGAUUUAUUGGGUUUAAAGGGUGCGUAGGCGGGAGAUCAAGUCAGUGGUGAAAUGGUGUGGCUCAACCAUAGCAUUGCCGUUGAAACUGGUUUUCUUGAGUGUAAAUGAGGUAAGCGGAAUGUGUCGUGUAGCGGUGAAAUGCAUAGAUAUGACACAGAACUCCAAUUGCGAAGGCAGCUUACUGGGAUACAACUGACGCUGAGGCACGAAAGCGUGGGGAUCAAACAGG
rnacentral:rRNA from 2 species